rnacentral:rRNA from 1 species
CGCGGUAAUACGUAGGUGGCAAGCGUUAUCCGGAAUUAUUGGGCGUAAAGCGCGCGUAGGCGGUUUUUUAAGUCUGAUGUGAAAGCCCACGGCUCAACCGUGGAGGGUCAUUGGAAACUGGAAAACUUGAGUGCAGAAGAGGAAAGUGGAAUUCCAUGUGUAGCGGUGAAAUGCGCAGAGAUAUGGAGGAACACCAGUGGCGAAGGCGACUUUCUGGUCUGUAACUGACGCUGAUGUGCGAAAGCGUGGGGAUCAAACAGGAUU